rnacentral:ncRNA from 1 species
AAAAAGGCCCUUUUCAGGGCCACCAAAAUAUCUUAUCCCUACUACU